UUAGUUGCGGCACACGGGAUCUUUGUGGCCACAUGUGAGAUCUUCCCUGCAGCAUGUGGGAUCUGGUUCCCCAACCAGGGAUCGAACCCAGGCCCCCUGCAUUGGGAACAUAGAGUCUUAACCACUGGACCACCAGCUGCACAAAGGAGGUGGGAGCAAAGCUGCAGACGGUCAAGGAAAGGAAACGACUGGAGAUGGUUGAUUGUUGUUGGAGUUUUCAUCGACAUUUCCUUGGCGUAGUCAGCAGCACAUCAGAGACACCCAGCAGAGAUACCCAGGGUCUCCCCAACGGGCGCUCAGUACCAGCACUGGCCCCUUGAGCCCCACCGGCUUCUUCCUCGGGGCUUUGGUGAGUUGCCCUGAUAUCCGGACGUCAUGGCUUUACAGGAACGACAUCCUGAAUUUUAUCCGUGCUGUUUUUCUGUUUAAGACUGAGAAUCUUUAAGGGGUACUAAUACAAUUUCCUAGGCAGGAAGCCUGGAGACACAUAGGUGACGCGUCUCUAUUAAUUUUGGCUCAGAUUGAAAACAAGAUGACAUAUGGCCUGAACACACUGAUUGUUAGUGAAAUGAGAGACUGAGCCUGCUCAGUUCUGAAGAAAAGGGACACCUGCUCCUUCCGGCCACAAGGCGUUCUCCGCUGACGGAGAACCUAGCGGCAGUGUCUGAGGAUCAAGCCUCGUGACGCGUAGCGCGGUCCCACAGGGGAUCCCACGGCAACCAUGAAGUCAGUUCUGCCCACCAGGGGGCAUGAAGAAAGGCUGAUGGCCUGGUGCCCCGAGCACCCACGGCAGUUUGAGGCUGUUGGAGGGAGAAACCGAGACAUUAAGACAGUCAAACUGACCCCAGGGUUACUCCUCGAGAAGCUAGACUCAGAAGCAGCACACGCCCAGUCCACCACGCUGCCCUCAGAAAACUGCUCCGGUCCAACCUCGUAUCUGAGUCAGGCCAUCAAAUUACCAAUGGGAGACCGUGCCUCGAAGGCCUGUGGUGACGCCAGCUGGGCUUGCAUGUGAUACCUAUGGAACUGACACCUGCAAGUAUUUUACCAAAUGGGAGAAUCUGACCAAAGAUAACUUGUCCCUGAGACCGCCAAAAUGGGGUUCUUUUGAUUUACCUAAAUUGGUUUAGUUGCACGUUCCAUUAGAAAAAGCCGGCUAUAAAAUCAACCAGAAUGGGAGGCCUAUUUUAAUUGGAACCUAGAAGCCUCGAAACAAGGAAAGGAUAACAUGGCUUCCCUGCAGGAAACAAAAAUGAUUAGAAACGGUGGGUAAGGUAGAGAAAGCCUCAGAAGCCACUGCUUCUCCUCCUCCCCGGCCUCCACCUCCGUCUCCACCUUCCUCAUAUCCUCUUCUCUCUGAGCUUCCCUGCCCUGACCUUCCUGCUCCCCCUCCUCCAGCACCAUAAGAAAAACACACUGAAUCCGAGAGAGAUGAAAGCAACACCAAGGGAACAGCGGCUCCCUUUAAGGAGACACCCACGAGCCGAGGGGGUCCUGCUCUAUGCACACCGCUUGGAUUAGGGCAGGACUGAGGAAUUUGACUAAGGAUUUUUCCAGAUCCCUUACAAGAUCCUUUAGCUUUUGCUAAGGACUUUGAUCUUACAGUAAGAACUCACAGGCCUGGAUAUUCAGACUCAUACCAGCUCGUACCUUUACUAGUCUCUGAAAGUAAAGCAAAGGAAUGGCUCUGAGACAUCUACUGGAAGGCCACCUCUGGGGGAUUUUCAUAAGCAUAAGGCUGCAUGUCGCCAGAGAUGUGGAGAAACUGCUUACAACUUACACCAGGCUGUUCCGAAAAUCUUCCCACAUGAAAGAGACUGCGCAUGGGACGUCCCUGCUGGCGCUGUGGUUAAGACUCUGCACUCCCAGUGCAGGGGGCCUGGGUUCCAUCCCUGGUCGGGGAACUAGGUCCCACGUGCCACAACUAAAGAUCCCGCAUGAUGCAACAAAGAGCCGGUGCAGCCAAAUAAACAAUGAAAACAAUUUUUUAACUUAAAAAGAAAAUAGAUUGGGCACAGGUUCAUCAGGGCAAACAGAGGCCAGGAGAAACUACUUUUGAUUAUUUUGAAAGAUUUGAAAAGACAUUCAAACAACACUCUGGCGUGGGUCCAGGAGAGUUCUCUAAACCAUCAGAAUGAUCCAGUAUUCAAUUCCAUUUUUGUAGAAGGGUUAGAUGAAGAACUGGCACGACUGGUGAAAAGACAACGAACUUGACUGGGCCGCUGUGCACACUCAUGCCCUUUCACGACAGCUGAUGGUCUUUCUAAAACCUCACAGGAAGGAGAGGAGGAAAACGCUGCCAGGAUUGUGGCUGUGUGGCUACAGCAGUUUGGCGGCCCUACGAGACUCACCUGCCCGAAUUCCAGCCAGGCUCGGAAGCACCGCACCUGCUUUUACUGAGAAAUACCCAGAUAUUUAGAAAGGGAUUGCCACAGAUUCCAGACUUAGAACAAGGUGAAAUUUAAAAGUAAUAGGGGUACUCCGAGGAUUACAAGGGGGAACUUCCCCUCCUCCUCACAAAUACCUUAGGGGAAACUGAAAUAACUAUUGGAGGGGAAACCUCUAAGGCCCUGUGGACACAGGCUACAUUCCCUGUCCUUAACCCUGCCCUGAUUCACGGCCCUCUCCCUCGGGGUAAACAACCGAUUCCAAUGGUAGGGGUUCCAAAUUUUCCUAUGCAGAUUUUUUUAAUCAGGACCAAUAACUUUGCAGCUAGAAACUAUCACAGAAAGACAUGUAUUCCUUUUGGUGAAAUGUGCUGCAAUUCCUCUGACUGGACGAGACCUUUCAGAGGCAUGUAAUGCCCGUAUUGCCUUUUCACCUAAAGGUGAAAUGAUUUUAGAUUUAGAAGAUGCAGAUCAGAACAUAAUUACUGAAAAAUUAAUGGUUAUGAAAAUAAAAAUUCAGACAAAUCAAGAGGAAACGAAUGAUCUGCUAUUACAGGACAGCUGCAUGUAAAUCAGAGGAGUUAGAACACACCCUCACACCAUGCACAAAAAUAAACUCAACACAGCAUAAGACAGGACUUCCCUGGUGGCGCAGUGGUUAAGAACCUGCCUAACAAUACAGGGGACACAGGUUCGAGCCCUGGUCUGGGAAGAUCCCACAUGCCUCGGAGCAACUAAACCCGUGAGCCACAACUACUGAGCCUGCGCUCCACAACAAGAGAAGCCACCGCAAUGAGACGCCUACGCAUCACAACGAAGAGUAGCCCCUGCUCUCUGCAACUAGAGAAAGCCCUUGCGCAGCAACGAAGACCCAACACAGCCAAAAACUAAACUUUUUUAAAAAUUGCAUAAAACAUGACACCAUAAAACCCCAAGAGAACACAGGCAAAACAUUCUCUGACAUAAGUCGUACCAACAUUGUCCUGUCAGUCUCCCAAGGCAAUAGAAAUAAAAACAAAAAUAAACGGGACCUAAUCAAACUUACAAGCUUUUGCACAGCAAAGGAAACCAUAAACAAGACAAAAAGACAACCUACAGCUAGGGAGAAAAUAUCUACAAAUGAUGUAACCAACAAGGGUUUAAUCUCCAAAAUAUAUUGGGUUGGCCAAAAAGUUUGUUCGGGUUUCUUUCCAUACUAUCUUAUUGGCCAACCCAAUACAAGCAGCUCAUACAACUCAACAACAACAACAAAAACCCAAUUGAAAAAUGGGCAGAAGACCUUAAGAGACAUUUCUCCAAAGAAGACGGAUGGCCAAUAGGCACAUGAAAAGAUGCUCAGUAUCACUAAUUAUUAGAGAAAUGCAAAUCAAAACUACAAUGAGGUAUCACCUCACACUGGUCAGAAUGGCCAUCAUUAAAAAGUCUACAGAUAAAAAAUGUGGAGAAAAGGGAACCCUCCUAUGCUGUUGGUGGGAAUGUAAGUUGGUGCAGCCACUAUGGAAAAUAGUAUAGAGAUUCCUCAGAAAACUAAAAACAGAAUUACCAUAUGACCCAGCAAUCCCACUCCUGGGCAUGUAUCCAGACACUCUAAUUCAAAAAGACACAUGCACCCCUAUGUUCAUAGCAGCACUAUUCACAGUAGCCAAGACACGGAGACAACCUAAAUGUCCAUCGACAGAGGAAAGGAUAAAGAAGAUGUGGUGCAGAUACACAAUGGAAUAUUACUCAGCCAUAAAAAAAGAACAAAAUAACGCCAUUUGCAGCAACACGGAUGCAACCAGAGAUGAUCAUACUAAGUGAAGUAAGUCAGACACCAUAUGAUGUCACUUAUAUGUGGAGUCUAAAAUAUGGUACACAUGAACUUCUCUAUGAAACAGAAAUGGACUCACAGAGAACAGACUUGUGGUUUUCAAGGGGGCAGGGGUGUGGGAGAGGGAUGGACUGGGAGUUUGGGGUUAGCAGAUGCAAACUAUUACAUUUAGAAUGGAUAAACAACAAGGUCCUACUGUACAGCACAGGGAACCAUAUCCAGUCUCCUGAGAUAAACCAGAAUGGAAAAGAAUAUUUUAAAAAGAAUGGACUUGUCUGAGUCCGGUAUACUGCAAGACCGUUUAUGUCCAAAUGGAGAACAAAAUGGCCAGCUUGUAAUAAUAUUCACAUCUAGCUGUGAACAUCAGAGCAGUUCCAGAUACCAGAUGCUAAUUUUAUCUUUCUCAUUAAUAACAAGCCUUCAUUUUCUUACCACCAUGAUGUGAGAACAACUAAGGAGGGUCACGUCACCAGCCAUCACAAGUUACCACUGUAGCCGCUGUCUGUUGGACGCAAGUCACCAGCGGCGGGCAGUGGUAACCCAUUGGUUUCGAUCACUAUAUAUGUUACAGUGGGUUGUUAUUUGCAUUCUGUUGAUGGGCGAUUAUUUUUUCUUUAAAAAAGUAAUUUUCAUAUUCCCACUUUAUAAGCAAUGUAUUUUGAUCAUUACACAUCUGGAAAAUAUAAACAAUGGAUAAUAAAAAUCAUCUCAAUUCCACCAUAUUGAGAAUUGUUAAUAUUUUCAUGUGCACAGCAACUCAAAAAUUAGUGGU